UUCCUACGGGAGGCAGCAGUGGGGAAUAUUGGACAAUGGGGGGAACCCUGAUCCAGCGACGCCGCGUGAGUGAAGAAGUAUUUCGGUAUGUAAAGCUCUAUCAGCAGGGAAGAAAGAAAUGACGGUACCUGACUAAGAAGUCCCGGCUAACUACGUGCCAGCAGCCGCGGUAAUACGUAGGGGGCAAGCGUUAUCCGGAUUUACUGGGUGUAAAGGGAGCGUAGACGGCAGCACAAGUCUGAAGUGAAAUGCCGGGGCUUAACCCCGGAACUGCUUUGGAAACUGUGCAGCUAGAGUGCAGGAGA
rnacentral:rRNA from 1 species